rnacentral:lncRNA from 1 species
CCUUACCCCUGUCCUCACCUGCCCCUUGCCCACUCCUCCAGGCAACUGGCUUCUUUUUUUUUUUUUUUUUUUUUUUUUUUUAGAUUUUAUUUAUUUUUUUGACAGAGAUAGAGACAGCCAGCGAGAGAGGGAACACAAGCAGGGGGAGUGGGAGAGGAAGAAGCAGGCUCAUAGUGGAGGAGCCUGAUGUGGGACUCGAUCCCAGAACGCCGGGAUCACGCCCUGAGCCGAAGGCAGACGCUUAACCGCUGUGCCACCCAGGCGCCCCGCAACUGGCUUCUCCACCCCUAUAAAAGGGACCUGGGGGGGCCAGGAGAAAAGAUGAAAAGCAAAAACAGUAUUCAGCAUUGGUUUUGCAGUGGACGUUACAGAGGAAGCGCCCCCCCUGCGCAGUGAGAGGGGCAGCCAAGCUCCUUCCCCGGGAUGACACUGGGCGUCCCAGCGCAAGCCCCCGCAGCUUUGACCUGUGCUGCAAGCAGCGAGCAGCAGCGGUGCUUUACCCUCACUUAUUUUGUGCGCCCGUUAGCAAGAUGUGUCCUAAGGCCAUUUCGACUUACAAAAGGUUUCAUAGGAACGCUUGACUUCUGCAUGGCUGGGGACACCUGUAUAUCUGAUAAGGGAUUGUAUCCAGAUUAG